rnacentral:lncRNA from 1 species
AACAACAGCCCACCAAAAUUACCAAGUCAAUAGCCCAAGAAAGUAAUCUCGAAUUAAUAACACAAUACACAAGGAGAAAGCUCGGUCACCCAUGUUCCUAGCCCUAAAACCUUCUCUGCACCCAGAAUCUCGCCGGUAUCCACUGUCCAGAAAUUGAACACUGCCAGCCGCCACACGCCACACGCCACACGCCACUUGCAUAGCCAAGUUCUAUCGCCGGUAAAAUCUUUUUCUAUUUUAAUUAUUUUAUGUCCUUAGAAUUUUAGAAUGUCAUAUCAUGUCUUGCUUGCUUAUUGUUUAAUCUAAAUGAAGGCUACUUAAUUAAAAGUAAGUCACUGGCACGGAGAAGGAGAGGACAAGUCCCAAUGUUAAUGUGGACAGCAUUUCUUCGUUACCAGAAUCAAUAUUGCAUCACAUUCUGUCAUGUCUCUCUCUCGAACGUGUUGUUCAAACUGGUGUCCUGACUAAAACAUGGAACGAAUUCUGGCUUAUAUUCCCGAGUAUACAAUUUCAUAGGUAUCUCUCUAGUUCAAGAUUGAGGAAUCAAAAGAGAAUAUUGAAAUACUUGGAAAAGACUUUCUAAAUUGUCAUUUGGAUGCAUUAGUUUAGAAAAGUUCACGCUUUAUGUAGCACCAUUAUCAGAUGGUCCGGAGUUUGAAUCGAAUGUAAACAGGUGCCUCAGCUAUGCGGUUGGAAGUAAGGUCAAAGAUUUACAAUUUUGAGUUCGUUGUCCUUCUAGGAAAUACAAUAUGCCUCAAAUAGUUUUUUAUGCAAAAUCAAUGGCUGUGUUGAGGUUACUUUAGUAUACACUGGAACCACCUAGAAGUAAAGUGACUUUAUCUUCCUUUAGAAAAUUUUGUCCAAACCAAGUCUAUGCAAAUGAUGAAGUUAUUUGCGAUCUAGUUGCUGGUUGUCCUUUGAUUGAGCAUAUGAAUAUCUUUGCUUGUCAAGGAUUUAAAUGUCUAGAGUUACCCCAUCUCAAUAAACUCAAGGAAUUCAUAUUAUAUGAUAGUGAUGGACUUGAAUGGGUGUAUAUCAAUGGAAAGAAUGUUUAUUCAGUACAUAUCACAGCCAAACAAACACCAUGAGAGAUCAUUGUGACCCCUUGUAAGAAUCUGGAAGAAUUGAAAUUAUGUGAGGUUGUCAUAACAGAUGAAUGGCUUUGCAAGCAAAUUUCUGAACCUCCAUUUCUUGAAUACUUGUACGUAAAAUAUUGUGGGAAGUUAAGGAAUGUUAAGAUUAUAAGUCCUCGUCUUAAGAAAUUAGACUUCACAAGUACUGAGAAAUUGGUUGAAUUGAAGCUUAACACUCCGAAUUUAAGCAUGUUCAAAACUUCUGGUAGUAUGGUAUCCUUCUCUUCAAAUGCUUUGGCUCUGUCUGAAACUGUAUUCUACUACACGUUUUAUGUUGACAAGUACGUGAAAUUGAUUGAACUUCUUGCAAAAUUUGAUCACCGUUACGAAGUUUUAAACUUGAUAUGUAAUCACAAGGUCUAUUAUUCCUUCCAAACUCUGUUACCUAAAUUUUCUAUCUUAUUUAAAUAAUUUGUUGGUCAUACAUCAUUAAGUUCUGACUUUUUCUGUUUUGUUAAUUUCCUCAAGGUUGUGAUUGUACCAAGUGAAUUGCGGGAAAUUUUAUUCCCCCCUUAACUUAUGACAAGCAUGUGUGUUUUUCCAUUGACUCCGAAUAUCUAAACAUUUCACUUGUUGAACUUGUGGAUGGCUUGCUCUGGAUUACACCUCAUGCAAGGACCUUAUCAACAGUGUAUCAAUGUUAUGAUUACUGCAAGCUUUCUUUCCAGGUACGCAUUAUUUUUCAUUUGUGAGAAUUCAAUAUUAGUUCCCUAUUUUUAUGUAAUAAGAUAGUUUGGCUAUGAAGCUUUCUUUCACUAUGUUUACACAUCUUUCGUUAAAAUGGGACUUUUUCAAAUGGUAGAUAUUAACUGUCAAUGAAGUGUAAAGGAUUAGAAUUACAUAAUGCUUCUUUUAGAAAUCAACUAACUUUUUCAUUUGUGGACACCUUAUCUAAUCUUGUCAUUGCUUUAACCUGAUCUUCCUUAAGGCAAAAAUAAUUAAAAGGAAAAAGGAAAUACGACAAAAAUAACUAUUCUAAUUUUGCAUCACAUUUAGGAUCUUGCUAUAAAUGAGCAAGAACAAUAUCUUCAAUGAUCAAUUAUCAUUAGAAUUAAGAUCCAAUAAUUAUCAUGAAAUUUUUUUUGCCUAUUAACACUGUAUAUAACUAAUUUUUUCUUUGACAAUCAUGAAGUAGACAAAGUAGACAUUGAAUAACAAUUGAGAUGGGCUCAUUUUGUUUUCAUAUUUUCAUUUUUGGGAAAGAUUUUUGAGACUCAAGUCCAAGCCAAAGAAACUAUGCAUAAUUUGAGAAAAUGCUUGUAUUCAUUCAUGGAUUGUUUGUCCUUAAAUUUAUUGAUAUGUUCCUUUUACCUUUUUUUCCCUUGUUUUUUUUUAUAUAGAUUUCUUGAUAAACAUUUAUUAUAUAAUAUGCAUAAUUACUUCUAAUGUAAAUAGUAUAGUUUAGUCUUAAUAGCUUAUGAAGCAACCAAUAAUUUGUAGUGCUUAUUCUUUUCUUUCAUUUUAGGGUUCAGGACGAAACUUUAUUAGUAUUUUGUAAUUUUAAAUGAAUAAUUGAAGAAUGUUGUUGAGAUUUGUUAGUGAGCAAAAGUAAAAACACAAGAGGUAUAACGCUGCAUCGUGUAAAGGUUUAUGUUAAAAAACUAUAUGGGUCUACCUUCACCGUGGUACAUCACCUUUUUUUAUCAUUUGAAGGAUUAAUUUCACAAAAUUUAAAAAUGCUCAAGCUUUAUAGAGGUAGAUAGAUAAGAUAGGUAGAUUUAUGUCUUUGACGUGGUAUGCAUUCAUUAGUUAUGGAAAAUCAUAUAAUCGGAUUGGCAUUUCGAUUUUAGAUAUGCACUUUAUCAACUUCUUAUGUAUUAAAUAUUUUAAUUGUUAGGAAUAUGCCUUCUUUUUUAAUAAGGAUUUGUAAAGGUUAGGUUCACUUGUUUGUAUAGCACAACAAUUAAUUCUCUGCAAGUCAAUAAUUUUUACAAUGAGAGAAAUGGUAGGUCCAUUGAAAGAUUGGGUGUUAUUGAGAUUUUGACUUUUUGAGUGUAAGAAAAACCAUAAGAGUGAUUGUAAUAAAUUUUUACAUAGUAAAUUUUCCCUUGUCGUUCUAGGCAGUUGUGAUUUUUCUCUAGUAUAAAAGUUUUCCACAUAAAUUCUUGUGUUGUAUAUUUGUAAUAAUUCGUGUCAAACAAAAGGACUGUUGUACUCUGAUACUACUUGUUGGGCGUGGCAUGCGGAAUCAAGCGUAUCAAGUAAUCAAAGGAAAACAAAGGACAAGAAUUUAACAUGGUUCGGUAAUCUGCCUAUGUCCACGAGAGUAAGGAAAAAUAAUUGUAUUACUAACAAUUGUAGAGUAUAAUAUUUUAGUAAAGAAACUUCACUUCCCAGAACUUAAAUACACCUAGUACUCUUAAACACACUUGAAAGGAAAAACUUCUCACUUACACACACUUUUCAAUUGCUCACUCUCUUAUCUCUUAACAAUUCUUCACUGGAAUUGUUACUUUUAAUUUGGGAUGUCUAACUGAAGAAAAUGACUUAGUAUUUAUAGGAGAGUUUCACUAAGCAUGCAACAAAGAAGUCUUAAAAAAAUAGUAUAAUUUUCUUGAUUCGGUGCCAACCUUUCUUGUUUUUUUCAUUCGGUGCGACUUUUCUAAAUUUCAAAUUUUGCGGCUACUUUUAUUGACUUUUCAACAAUUAUCCAUCUCAGCGAAGAUUUGUCACAAUUUGAGUUGAUUAUUAAUGACCCAUCAUCCCCAAAAAUAUCUUUCAUUAAGGAUCCAAAAUGGUUGUGCUGCUCUGACUGCUUGCGUACCCAAAAUCUGAGAUCAAGCCAACUAUAGUUCAAAAUUUUUCAAAUUCAACACAUUCAAAGUAUUUGAAUUAGUUUCGAGCAAUAUUGACUUUUCAACAAUUAUCCAUCUCAGCGAAGAUUUGUCACAAUUUGAGUCGAUUAUUAAUGACCCAUCAUCCCCAAAAAUAUCUUUCAUUAAGGAUCCAAAAUGGUUGUGCUGCUCUGACUGCUUGCGUACCCAAAAUCUGGGAUCAAGCCAACUAUAGUUCAAAAUUUUUCAAAUUCAACACAUUCAAAGUAUUUGAAUUAGUUUCGAGCAAUAUUGAAAUUUAAUUCCAGAAAUCACUUUUAUCAACAUAUCUGAUGGGUUAUCUCUAGUAUCAAUCAUUUUCAAUAACACAACAUUGUUCUCGAUAACCUCUCUCAUAUAAUGAUAUUUCACAUCUAUGCGUUUUAUUCGAACAUAAUAUGUUUGAUUCUUUGCAAGAAAUAUCAUGUUUUGGUUAUCACAGAAGACCUCAAUGGAGGAUUACUUUGGAUCUUUAAUGAAAGAUUACUUUAGGGAUGAUGGUUCGUUGGUAGUUGACUCAUAUUUGGUCAAAUUUUCAUCGAGGUGGAGAAUUAUUGAAAAGUCAAUAAAAAUGGUCACAAAAUUUGAAAUUGCAAGGUACAAAAUUUGAAAUUUGAAAAAGUUGUGCCGAAUGAAGAAAAAUGAAAAGUUGGCACCGAAUGAAGAAAAUAGUGCCAAAUUUUAAAGAUUUUUCUUCUGCAUACUUGGUGAAGCUCUCCUAUAAAUAUCAAGACAUUUCCUUUAGUAAGGCAUUCCAAAAUGUAGAGUGUGAGAGUUUAGGUGAAAAGCUCUUUGAGAGAGUGCAGAGAGAGUUUUCUAUGAAAGAGUCCAGAGAAAGAGAACAUCUACAAGUGAGCUCUUAAAAAGUUUGGGAGAGCAUUUCCUUGGAUGCUUUGUUAGGUUCUGCAUUAUUUGCAGAGAUGUGAGAGAAUGUGUGUCUUGGUGAGAUUGUUUCUCUUAAGAGAGUGAAAAUACUAAAAUAUUUGAGUAUUUGGGAAGUGAGAUAGUCAAAUUCGUACUUUAUUAAGUAAAACAAUUAUUAUCUUUUGCCUCUAUGGAUGUGGGCUUUAUUACUAAAUCAAAUAAAAUUCUUGUGUCAUUAUUUUUCUGUAAAUAUUUGGUGCGCAUUGAUUCCGCAUUUGCUUUAAGUAAAACAAUUAACAUCAGAGCACAACAAGGACGGGGGUUUGGCGGUGGUUUCGUCUGGAGAAUUUUCUAGUUGUGUCCCAUAUUGUCUAGUAAAGGGGAAUUACUUUGGUUUAUGAGUAGGAUGGGUCACUCCAUCCAUUAGGCUAGUCGUUUGGGUUAGAUACCUAAAAAUCCUAGGCAAAUCCCCCCUUAACAUUAGUAGAAGUAAAAUUUAAAAACUUCUGUUGGCAAGAGGAAAUUUGUUAAUCCAGAUGGUGGAUUUCUUCAUUUUUAUUUUCUAAAUUUUUUUAAGAAAUGUUGCUUAACAGUUACCACUUUUAUUUUUGUUUCACUUUUUCUAUAAGAAGCUGCUUAUAUAUGAAGGCAAGAGUACUCAUUGUUGCCGAUCUGUUGUUUCGCAUUGCAUAAAGAACGUUAAGAUUGAGCUCUCUAAUGACAAUAGAAAAGAAUUUGUUACUGAAGGAAGUUAUUUUUUGGAGGAUGGUGAGAUAAUCGAGAAGAUUGAUGAUUUCUGGAGUUCUUUUGAAGGAUCUGCCGAUAGCUGUGAGUCCGAUGAUAGCCAUGAGUAGCAAAUUUUGAUCAGAGUUUAUGUUUGUUACUUUUGGUGUCUUGUGGGAUUUGGGCAUCCUUUUGGAUUCUCUGUUAAUGUUCUUAGCCCAAUGUUCAUUCCCUACUGCCAAACUCCCAAAACUUCAAGAUAUUUUCCUGUGAAAUUCCAUAAGUAUUUCAUAGUUAAAGUUCUAUAAGUUAUGUAGCUGCUUUGCUUGUGAAAAUUGGAGCUGCUUUGCCCCCCCUUUUUUUUUUUUUUUAAAUGUGUGUGUAUAAUUUACAUUGUUACAUAUAUAACAACAAUUCAGUGGUCCUCAAGGGCUCGACCCCGGGUAAACUUCGAGCAAUUUUCUUUUUUCUAAAUCGCCAUUCGAAUUACAAAUUUUAGCGGGAUAGAUGGGUCAAAAUUAAUUUGGAUUUUAUUCACGGGUAAAAGUUUAUUUAGUCCCUAUAUUUUAAGAUUAGUGUUUAUUUAAUCGUUGUAUUUUUUAAAAUGCCUUGAAACAAUUCUGUCGUUAAAAUAUUGAUACACCUACCGUUACUUUUUAUUUCUUUUGAUUUACUUUUACAAUACUACCAUUUUAUAAUAGUUUUUUUGUUUGGACAUUAAUAAAAAGAAAAUAAUUAAAUUACUAAAUUAACUCUAAAAAAUAAAAGAAAUUAUAUUAAUUUUUUUGCAAGCAUCAUUUGCACACUUGUUAGUUUGCAUAUAAUUUUUGACAAUUAAAAAUUAAUAUAAAAUUUUUAUCUUUAUUUUUUAGGGUUAAAUUGGUAAUUUAAUUAUUUUUUUUUUAUGAAUGUCCAAACAAAAAAAAAUUAUUAUAAAAGGGUAAUAUUGUAAAAGUAAGUCAAAAGAAAAAAAAAAGUAACGGUAGGGAUAUCAAUAUUUUAACGGCAGAGAUGUUUCUAGGUAUUUUUAAAAAUACAUGGACUAAAUUGACACUAAUCUUAAAAUAUAUGGACUAAAUGAACUUUUACCUUUUUAUUCACUUCUAUCUGAAAAAAAAAAAAAAUCAUAGAAUCAAUUCAUUGAAAUAAAUCAUUAUACUUAUACUUUUCUUAUUAUGUAUAAAAUUUUCAAUUACAAUAUAAUAAUAUUUUAUAAUCAUGAAACUAUUCGGAAUGAUAUCAUUUUUAUUAUGGGGCAGCCCAUAGUAAAGAGGAAUUUACUCCUGAAAAUACUACUCUGAGAUUAAAUAAAAAAUAAUUUAGAAACUCGAACUCAAUCCGUUCUUGGGAAUAACUAACAUUAGACUUAGUAAAUAGGAGUUUGAUUUUAUAGAAAUUUUUCUCUUUUCUCCUUUUCUCAGAGGACUAUCAAGUUGGCUGGGAGGUUCGAAAUUUUAGAAGGAACAAUCAGUCCCGUGGGUACCAGUUCAGCAUGCAGUUGAAGAGUUAACUUAUGUAGAAAGCAGCUCGGUUAUCAACGAUAAUUUUUCAUUUGUCUCUAGGAUCCGGCUGAGUGAUUGUAAAGUAAUUUUAUUUAAUUGGCCAAUAAAGUUCGGAUUUGUAGCUGGUGGAGGAUUAUAAAAAUCAGUCAAAUGUCAAUUAGGGGGAAAAAGAAACAAAGGCAAAUAAUGGUGUAUGUGCCUUGUGAAUGUGACAAUCAAAUAUUUUGUGAUCAUUGAAAGAUUUUAUGUACCAUAUACUAAACGAGAAGGGUUCGCGCUGUGCAGGACGCACUGUUUUGUUGCUGAAGAAAGGAUUUGAGGCAAGUUUAACAAUAUAAACCUAGAUGAAAACUAAC